AAAUAGCUGGUCUCUCCGAAAACUAUUUAGGUAGUGCCUCNGUAUAUCAUUCUCGGGGGUAGAGCACUGUUAUGGCUAGGGGGUUCAUAAGAACUUACCAAACCAUUGCAAACUCCGAAUACUGAGAAAUGCAAUUACGGGAGACAGUCCAUGGGUGCUAACGUCCGUGGACAAGAGGGAAACAACCCAGACCGACAGCUAAGGUCCCAAAUGACGUGCUAAGUGGAAAACGAAGUGGGAAGGCAUAGACAGCCAGGAUGUUGGCUUAGAAGCAGCCAUCAUUUAAAGAAAGCGUAAUAGCUCACUGGUCGAGUCGUCCUGCGCGGAAGAUGUAACGGGGCUAAGCACGUAACCGAAGCUUCGGAUGCUGCAUUCUUCGGAAUGUAUGCAUGGUAGGAGAGCGUUCUGUAGGCCUGUGAAGGUGAUCUGUGAGGAUUGCUGGAGGUAUCAGAAGUGCGAAUGCUGACAUGAGUAGCGAUAAAGGGAGUGAAAAGCUCCCUCGCCGAAAACCCAAGGUUUCCUGCGCAACGUUCAUCGGCGCAGGGUGAGUCGGCCCCUAAGGUGAGGCAGAGAUGCGUAGCUGAUGGGAAACAGGUUAAUAUUCCUGUACCUGUAUACAAUGCGAUGUGGGGACGGAGAAGGUUAGGUCAGCCGGGUGUUGGAUGUCCCGGUUCAAGCGUGUAGGCAGAUUCUUUAGGCAAAUCCGGAGAGUCUUAAUGCUGAGGCGUGAUAACGAGUGCACUAGUGCAUGAAGUGAUUGAUACCAUGCUUCCAAGAAAAGCCACUAAGCUUCAGUUGUAUAAGACCGUACCGCAAACCGACACAGGUGGGUAGGAUGAGAAUUCUAAGGCGCUUGAGAGAACCCGGGAGAAGGAACUCGGCAAAUUAGCACCGUAACUUCGGGAGAAGGUGCGCCCCGGUAGUGUGUAGCGAUUUACUCGUGAAGCACGAUGGGGUUGCAGUGAAAAGGUGGCUGCGACUGUUUAAUAAAAACACAGCACUCUGCAAACACGAAAGUGGACGUAUAGGGUGUGACGCCUGCCCGGUGCUGGAAGAUUAAUUGAUGGGGUGCAAGCUCUUGAUCGAAGUCCCAGUAAACGGCGGCCGUAACUAUAACGGUCCUAAGGUAGCGAAAUUCCUUGUCGGGUAAGUUCCGACCCGCACGAAUGGCGUAACGAUGGCCACACUGUCUCCUCUCGGGACUCAGCGAAGUUGAAAUGUUUGUGAAGAUGCAAUCUACCCGCGGCUAGACGGAAAGACCCCAUGAACCUUUACUGUAGCUUUACAUUGGACUUUGACAAGAUUUGUGUAGGAUAGGUGGGAGACGUUGAAGCGGAGUCGCUAGAUUUCGUGGAGUCAACCUUGAAAUACCACCCGUGAUUUAUUUGAUGCCUAAUCCCCGAAAGGGAGACAUUGUUUGGUGGGUAGUUUGACUGGGGUGGUCGCCUCCAAAAGAGUAUCGGAGGCUUCUAAAGGUGCCCUCAGUACGGUUGGUAACCGUGCGUAGAGUGCAAUGGCAUAAGGGCGCUUGACUGUGAGACCAACAAGUCGAGCAGGUACGAAAGUAGAGCAUAGUGAUCCGGUGGUUCCGCAUGGAAGGGCCAUCGCUCAAAGGAUAAAAGGUACGCCGGGGAUAACAGGCUGAUCACUCCCAAGAGCUCACAUCGACGGAGUGGUUUGGCACCUCGAUGUCGGCCCGUCACAUCCUGGGGCUGGAGAAGGUCCCAAGGGUUCGGCUGUUCGCCGAUUAAAGUGGUACGCGAGCUGGGUUCAGAACGUCGCGAGACAGUUCGGUCCCUAUCUGUUGUGGGCGUUGGAAGCUUGAGAGGAGCUGACCUUAGUACGAGAGGACCGGGUCGGACAAACCUCUAGUGCACCUGUUGUGGCGCCAGCUGCAUCGCAGGGUAGCUAUGUUUGGAUGAGAUAAGCGCUGAAAGCAUCUAAGCGCGAAACUCGCCUCAAGAUGAGGCUUCCUUUAAGGGUCGUUAUAGACGAUGACGUUGAUAGGCUGCAGGUGUAAAGGUGGCGACACCAAAGCCGAGCAGUACUAAUUACCCGUAGACUUUUUAACU
rnacentral:rRNA from 1 species